rnacentral:rRNA from 1 species
GUGAACGAGCGACGCCGCGUGCGGGAUGAAGGCCUUCGGGUUGUAAAGCACUGUCAGGUAACUCUAAUCCCGUAGGGUUAAUACCCCUUGCGGUUGAAGGGUUUCCAGAGGAAGCACCGGCUAAAUCCGUGCCAGCAGCCGCGGUAAUACGGAUGGUGCAAGCGUUAUUCGGAAUCACUGGGCAUAAAGAGCACGUAGGCGGCUGCGUAAGUCAGUGGUGAAAUCCCUCGGCUCAACCGAGGAACUGCCAUUGAUACUGCGUGGCUAGAGUGUGGGAGGGGCAGACGGAAUUCCAGGUGGAGCGGUGAAAUGCGUAGAUAUCUGGAGGAACGCCGGAGGCGAAAGCGGUCUGCUGGCCCACGACUGACGCUGAGGUGCGAAAGCUAGGGGAGCAAACAGGAUUAGAUACCCUGGUAGUCCUAGCCGUAAACGAU